rnacentral:lncRNA from 1 species
GUGUCAUUUGCAUUUGUUUUCUUCUUGAUACUUAGGUUUGGUUACUAUUAGUAGGGUUUGGUUUUGUUUUGGGGGAGUUCUAAGCUGAGAGGGGAGAAGAUGAGGCGAAGAGAACGUUUCAAAUUUUGUUGUGUUUCUAUAAAAAAAACGAAUCUUCAAAGGUCAAAGGUGUUUGUUGCCUUUCCAGAAGUCAUUUGAUCUUCCCAACAUUGUUGAUUCCCCAUGAAUAGCUUAACAGCUGGCCAUUAACAAGGGUGCUUUCCACCCUUCUGUUCGCCUCCUCAUGUGGGCCAGGCUAGAACAGGUUUCUAUAAACCUCACCCAACAGACUAUUUUUUGUUUUGGUUUUUAUUUUUUUAAUUUCAAUCUAUUCUGGUUUAAUAUUUUAGUUGUUAUUAAAAUGAUAACUAGCCAUGAGUGGUCUGAUGGAGAAGUGCAGUAUUCUAGUCUUGAGUGGGGUGGGUUC